rnacentral:rRNA from 1 species
AACGAACGCUGACGGCGCGCCUAAUACAUGCAAGUCGAACGAGAAGCUGUAGCAAUACAGUUGUACAGUGGCGAACGGGUGAGGAAUACAUGGGUGACCUACCCUCGAGUGGGGAAUAACCAGCCGAAAGGUUGGCUAAUACCGCGUACGCUUCCCAGUCUACGGGUUGGGAAGGAAAGCGAUGCCGUGGGUAUCGCGCUCAAGGUUGGGCUCAUGUCCUAUCAGCUUGNGGUGGGGUAACGGCUCACCAAGGCAACGACGGGUAGCUGGUCUGAGAGGACGAUCAGCCACACUGGCACUGCGACACGGGCCAGACUCCUACGGGAGGCAGCAGUAAGGAAUAUUGCGCAAUGGGCGAAAGCCUGACGCAGCGACGCCGCGUGGGGGAGUGAA